rnacentral:rRNA from 1 species
UACAGAGGUCCCAAGCGUUGUUCGGAUUCACUGGGCGUAAAGGGUGCGUAGGUGGUCAGGUAAGUCGGAUGUGAAAUCUCCGAGCUCAACUCGGAAACUGCAUUGGAAACUACCUGGCUCGAGGGUUGGAGGGGGGACUGGAAUGCUUGGUGUAGCAGUGAAAUGCGUAGAUAUCAGGAGGAACACCGGUGGCGAAGGCGGGUCUCUGGGCCGUAACUGACGCUGAGGAGCGAAAGCGUGGGGAGCGAACCGG